rnacentral:rRNA from 1 species
CCUACGGGAGACUGCAGUGAGGAAUAUUGGUCAAUGGACGAGAGUCUGAACCAGCCAAGUAGCGUGAAGGAUGACUGCCCUAUGGGUUGUAAACUUCUUUUAUAUGGGAAUAAAAUGUUCCACGUGUGGGAUUUUGUAUGUACCAUAUGAAUAAGGAUCGGCUAACUCCGUGCCAGCAGCCGCGGUAAUACGGAGGAUCCGAGCGUUAUCCGGAUUUAUUGGGUUUAAAGGGAGCGUAGGUGGAUUGUUAAGUCAGUUGUGAAAGUUGGCGGCGCAACCGUAAAAUUGCAGUUGAAACUGGCAGUCUUGAGUACAGGAGAGGUGGGCGGAAUUCGUGGUGUAGCGGUGAAAUGCUUAGAUAUCACGAAGAACUCCGAUUGCGAAGGCAGCUCACUGGACUGCAACUGACACUGAGGCUCGAAAGUGUGGGUAUCGAACAGGAUUAGAUACCCCAGUAGUC